CAAAAUGUAGCUUAAUACAAAGCAUUUAGCUUACACCUAAAAGAUUUCAGAUAAACUGACCAUUUUGA
rnacentral:tRNA from 1 species